CCUACGGGAGGCAGCAGUAGGGAAUAUUGCUCAAUGGGGGAAACCCUGAUGCAGCAACGCCGCGUGGAGGAUGAAGGUUCUCGGAUCGUAAACUCCUUUUGUUAGAGAAGAUAAUGACGGUAUCUAAAGAAUAAGCACCGGCUAACUCCGUGCCAGCAGCCGCGGUAAUACGUAGGGGGCAAGCGUUACUCGGAAUCACUGGGCGUAAAGAGGGCGUAGGCGGGGUAGCAAGUCAGGUGUGAAAUCCUGGGGCUUAACCCUAGAACUGCAUUUGAAACUGUGAUGCUAGAGUAUGGGAGGGGUAGGUGGAAUUCUUGGUGUAGGGGUAAAAUCCGUAGAGAUCAAGAGGAAUACGCAUGGCGAAGGCGACCUGCUAGAACAUAACUGACGUUGAUGCGCGAAAGCGUGGGGAGCAAACAGGAUUAGAUACCCCAGUAGUC
rnacentral:rRNA from 1 species